AGGCACAGGGAGAGAGACGGGAGAUACAGCGAGCGAGAUACAGACAGAGGACGGGGUCCAAGGGGGAGGUCACUGGAAAGUUGCCCCCGCCCGCUGCCGAGGCCGGUAUUCAUGGACUUGAAUGAGCAGCGCUGGAGCCUAGACCAAACAGGGACCUCUCCUUGGGGCUGGGAAAGAUAACAAAUUGCACUUUCAUUGAAGGGCAUUUGCAGCUGCGGGAGGGACCUUCGUAGGGCCGCGCCGGGAUGAAGACCCUGCAUUCAGAAGUCGGGCUGCUGCGCUCUUCUCGCCAGGCGAGCGGUCCCUGCUUCGCCGGUUGGCUCCAGGGCACUGUGGGAAGGGGCAGCCCGGCGCUCGGGUGCCCGAGACACAUUUAGUGCCUGUGUCUGAGCGCCGCUCCCGCCCCCCAGCUUCUGGGCUCGCCUCUCUCCUGGCCAGUAGCGCUGUGGAAUUUUCUGUUUGAGAAGCGGAAGGCGUGCGGAGGGGCAAGGGCUGGAGGUGGCGAGACAGCCGGGACAGAGACGCCAGUGGCACAUGGUGAAGGUGCUUUGGAGCACCGUCUGUGAUUACAAUUUACAUCUUUUCCUGGGAUACUCUCUUGAAAGGAUCAGCAGACAUCCAAUUUACUCAGAUAUAAUCCCAGAUUAAUGAAGUCGUUGAAGAGCAGAUUACGCUUGUCUCACUAAGACUGGGGCAACAGCUGUGAUAUUACAAUGAGUCAUUACACACCUUCUGUUCACCAAGGAGCCCCGAACCAUCUUGUCUACAGAGAAAACUGUUGAGCAUCACAUGCCAAGAGUUAUAUCAAGUUAAAAACAAAAAACAAAAAACUGCAUAGUUUGGAUCUUUUCCUGCCUUAGAAGCAAGAAAAAUGGAGAAUUGAUACUC